UAGCUGGUCUGAGAGGAUGACCAGCCACACUGGAACUGAGACACGGUCCAGACUCCUACGGGAGGCAGCAGUGGGGAAUAUUGCACAAUGGGCGCAAGCCUGAUGCAGCCAUGCCGCGUGUAUGAAGAAGGCCUUCGGGUUGUAAAGUACUUUCAGCGGGGGGAAGGCGUUGAGGUUAAUAACCUCAGCAAUUGACGUUACCCGCAGAAGAAGCACCGGCUAACUCCGUGCCAGCAGCCGCGGUAAUACGGAGGGUGCAAGCGUUAAUCGGAAUUACUGGGCGUAAAGCGCACGCAGGCGGUCUGUCAAGUCGGAUGUGAAAUCCCCGGGCUCAACCUGGGAACUGCAUUCGAAACUGGCAGGCUAGAGUCUUGUAGAGGGGGGUAGAAUUCCAGGUGUAGCGGUGAAAUGCGUAGAGAUCUGGAGGAAUACCGGUGGCGAAGGCGGCCCCCUGGACAAAGACUGACGCUCAGGUGCGAAAGCGUGGGAGCAAACAGGAUUAGAUACCCUGGUAGUCCACGCCGUAAACGAUGUCGACUUGGAGGUUGUGCCCUUGAGGCGUGGCUUCCGGAGCUAACGCGUUAAGUCGACCGCCUGGGGAGUACGGCCGCAAGGUUAAAACUCAAAUGAAUUGACGGGGGCCCGCACAAGCGGUGGAGCAUGUGGUUUAAUUCGAUGCAACGCGAAGAACCUUACCUACUCUUGACAUCCAGAGAACUUUCCAGAGAUGGAUUGGUGCCUUCGGGAACUCUGAGACAGGUGCUGCAUGGCUGUCGUCAGCUCGUGUUGUGAAAUGUUGGGUUAAGUCCCGCAACGAGCGCAACCCUUAUCCUUUGUUGCCAGCGGUCCGGCCGGGAACUCAAAGGAGACUGCCAGUGAUAAACUGGAGGAAGGUGGGGAUGACGUCAAGUCAUCAUGGCCCUUACGAGUAGGGCUACACACGUGCUACAAUGGCGCAUACAAAGAGAAGCGACCUCGCGAGAGCAAGCGGACCUCAUAAAGUGCGUCGUAGUCCGGAUUGGAGUCUGCAACUCGACUCCAUGAAGUCGGAAUCGCUAGUAAUCGUAGAUCAGAAUGCUACGGUGAAUACGUUCCCGGGCCUUGUACACACCGCCCGUCACACCAUGGGAGUGGGUUGCAAAAGAAGUAGGUAGCUUAACCUUCGGGAGGGCGCUUACCACUUUGUGAUUCAUGACUGGGGUGAAGUCGUAACAAGGUAACCGUAGGGGAACCUGCGGUUGGAUCACCUCCUUACCUUAAAGAA
rnacentral:rRNA from 2 species